rnacentral:rRNA from 1 species
AUUGAACGCUGGCGGCAGGCCUAACACAUGCAAGUCGAACGAGUGGCGGACGGGUGAGUAAUGUCUGGGAAACUGCCCGAUGGAGGGGGAUAACUAAUGGAAACGGUAGCUAAUACCGCAUACCAUCGGAUGUGCCCAGAUGGGAUUAGCUAGUUGGUGGGGUAACGGCUCACCAAGGCAACGAUCCCUAGCUGGUCUGAGAGGAUGACCAGCCACACUGGGACGGAGACACGGUCCAGAGUCCUACGGGAGGCAGCAGUGGGGAAUAUUGCACAAUGGGCGGAAGCCUGAUGCAGCCAUGCCGCGUGUAUGAAGAAGGCCUUCGGGUUGUAAAGUACUUUCAGCGAGGAGGCGUUACUCGCAGAAGAAGCACCGGCUAACUCCGUGCGAGCAGCCGCGGUAAUAC